rnacentral:rRNA from 1 species
CCUACGGGAGGCAGCAGUGGGGAAUAUUGGACAAUGGGCGCAAGCCUGACCCAGCAACGCCGCGUGAAGGAAGAAGGCUUUCGGGUUGUAAACUUCUUUUCUCAGGGACGAAGAAAGUUAAGUUACCUGAGGAAUAAGCCACGGCUAACUACGUGCCAGCAGCCGCGGUAAUACGUAGGUGCCAAGCGUUAUCCGGAAUUACUGGGUGUAAAGGGCGUGUAGGCGGGACUGCAAGUCAGAUGUGAAAACCACGGGCUCAACCUGUGGACUGCAUUUGAUACUGUGGUUCUUGAGUACUGGAGAGGCAGACGGAAUUCCUAGUGUAGCGGUGAAAUGCGUAGAGAUUAGGAGGAACACCAGUGGCGAAGGCGGUCUGCUGGACAGCAACUGACGCUGAGGCGCGAAAGCGUGGGGAGCAAACAGGAUUAGAUACCCGAGUAGUC